rnacentral:misc_RNA from 1 species
UUGCGAUAAGUAAUGUGAAUUGCAGAAGUGAAUCAUCGAAUCUUUGAACGCACCUUGCGCUCCCGGCAGAUCUAAUCUGGGGAGCAUGCCUGUUUGAGGGCCGCGAAUUGUUUCGAACGACAACUUUUUUCACAAAGAGUUGGCGGAUCGGUAUUGAGGGUUUUGCCAUUCACCGUGGCUCUCUCGAAAUGCAUUAGCGCAUCCAUUUGAUAGGCAAGACGGACGAAAGCUCCUCUUUCGCUCUCUCUUCCCUGCCGGGUUUUGAUAAUAUCAGGACUUCGGAGAGGUUGAGAGAUGGGUACGGAGCUGGACGCAACGGCUUGCUGUUUGGAGUGCUUCUGAAGCCCGCCCAUGUCGAGCUUUUUUGCUCGAAAGGGAUUUACUAAUUCACAUCGGCCUCAGAUGGGUAGGACUACCCGCUGAACUUAA